rnacentral:rRNA from 1 species
UACGGGAGGCAGCAGUAGGGAAUCUUCCGCAAUGGACGAAAGUCUGACGGAGCAACGCCGCGUGAACGAUGAAGGCUUUCGGGUCGUAAAGUUCUGUUGUUAGGGAGAACAAGUACCAGAGUAACUGCUGGUACCUUGACGGUACCUAACCAGAAAGCCACGGCUAACUACGUGCCAGCAGCCGCGGUAAUACGUAGGUGGCAAGCGUUGUCCGGAAUUAUUGGGCGUAAAGCGCGCGCAGGUGGUCCUUUAAGUCUGAUGUGAAAGCCCACGGCUCAACCGUGAGGGUCAUUGGAAACUGGGGACUUGAGUGCAGAAGAGGAAAGUGGAAUUCCACGUGUAGCGGUGAAAUGCGUAGAGAUGUGGAGGAACACCAGUGGCGAAGGCGACUUUUCUGGUCUGUAACUGACACUGAGGCGCGAAAGCGUGGGGAGCGAACAGGGAUUAGAUACC